GAUGAAAUAAGAUUAUUUUAAAUCAGAAUGGUAAAUUUAUUUUUAUGAUUUUCGUUUAGAAAUUCAUUUAUAAGCAAAUAAUUAAAAAAAAUUAACCAUUCAAUUUAUAAAAAUUUUAAGUUAAAUUAAAUAUUAAAUAAGGCAAUAGAAUUAUAACAAAUGAAAACCUUAAAAAAAAUCUCUUAAAAAAAGUAAGCCUAAAAACAAUAAUAUAAGUGCAGCCAUAUAAAACUUUAAGAAAUAGGUGGGUGGGAAUUUUCAUGCCCAGAACAAACAGAGAGGUACACUGAAAGGAAUCCUUGGGAUCUGCCAUUUAUAUCUGCUUUAAAUUCCAGUUCUGCAUCUGACCAACAAAGCUGCAGACUACUCACUAGUCAGUGAGUAAUUGUUUUUAAUGCAAAGCAACAAUAUCUUGGUUUGCAUUAUCUGCUUGCUUGUAUUGCUUCUCUAAUUCUUGUCCUGUGUGUGUUUGC
rnacentral:misc_RNA from 1 species